rnacentral:piRNA from 1 species
UGAUAAUAACCAAGAGGCAAGUCCAGA